rnacentral:rRNA from 1 species
UACGGAGGGUGCAAGCGUUAAUCGGAAUUACUGGGCGUAAAGCGCACGCAGGCGGUUUGUUAAGUCAGACGUGAAAUCCCCUGGCUCAACUAGGGAACUGCGUCUGAUACUGGAGGGCUCGAGUUCGGGAGAGGGAAGUGGAAUUCCAGGUGUAGCGGUGAAAUGCGUAGAUAUCUGGAGGAACACCGGUGGCGAAGGCGGCUUCCUGGACCGACACUGACGCUGAGGCGCGAAAGCGUGGGGAGCAAACAGGAUUAGAAACCCGUGUAGU